GCAGUGGUGGUUCAGUGGUAGAAUUCUCUCCUUCCAUGCAGGAGACCCAAGUUCAAUUCCUGGCCAGUGCA
rnacentral:tRNA from 1 species